rnacentral:rRNA from 1 species
CCUACGGGAGGCAGCAGUGAGGAAUAUUGGUCAAUGGACGCGAGCCUGAACCAGCCAAGUAGCGUGAAGGAUGACUGCCCUACGGGUUGUAAACUUCUUUUAUAAAGGAAUAAAGUGAGGCACGUGAGCCUUUUUGUAUGUAUUUUAUGAAUAAGGAUAGGCUAACUUCGUGCGAGCAGCCGCGGUAAUACGGAGGAUCCGAGCGUUAUCCGGAUUUAUUGGGUUUAAAGGGAGCGUAGAGGGGUUGUUAAGUCAGUUGUGUAAGUCUGCGGCUCAACCGUGAAAUUGCAGUUGAUACAGGCGGCCUUGAGUGCACACAGGGAAGGCGGAAUUCAUGGUGUAGCGGUGAAAUGCUUAGAUAUCAUGAAGAACUCCGAUUGCGAAGGCAAGCUAC